rnacentral:rRNA from 1 species
UACGUAGGGUGCAAGCGUUAAUCGGAAUUACUGGGCGUAAAGCGUGCGCAGGCGGUUGUGCAAGACAGAUGUGAAAUCCCCGGGCUCAACCUGGGAAUUGCAUUUGUGACUGCACGGCUAGAGUGCGGCAGAGGGGGAUGGAAUUCCGCGUGUAGCAGUGAAAUGCGUAGAUAUGCGGAGGAACACCGAUGGCGAAGGCAAUCCCCUGGGCCUGCACUGACGCUCAUGCACGAAAGCGUGGGGAGCAAACAGG